rnacentral:ncRNA from 4 species
UUGACCUCGGAUCAGGUAGGAAUACCCGCUGAACUUAAGCAUAUCAAAG